CUGGAUCUGGCAGACGGCUGGGCCUACGGUUUCGCGGAACGGGACGGCUAUGUGGGCUGGGUCGCGGCCAGCGAUCUGGUC
rnacentral:tRNA from 1 species